rnacentral:rRNA from 1 species
GAUGCGCCAUGCCGCGUGUAUGAAGAAGGCCUUCGGGUUGUAAAGUACUUUCAGUUGUGAGGAAGGGGGUGUCGUUAAUAGCGGCAUCUCUUGACGUUAGCAACAGAAGAAGCACCGGCUAACUCCGUGCCAGCAGCCGCGGUAAUACGGAGGGUGCGAGCGUUAAUCGGAAUUACUGGGCGUAAAGCGCAUGCAGGUGGUUCAUUAAGUCAGAUGUGAAAGCCCGGGGCUCAACCUCGGAACUGCAUUUGAAACUGGUGAACUAGAGUACUGUAGAGGGGGGUAGAAUUUCAGGUGUAGCGGUGAAAUGCGUAGAGAUCUGAAGGAAUACCAGUGGCGAAGGCGGCCCCCUGGACAGAUACUGACACUCAGAUGCGAAAGCGUGGGGAGCAAACAGGAUUAGAUACCCUGGUAGUCCACGCCGUAAACGAUGUCUACUUGGAGGUUGUGGCCUUGAGCCGUGGCUUUCGGAGCUAACGCGUUAAGUAGACCGCCUGGGGAGUACGGUCGCAAGAUUAAAACUCAAAUGAAUUGACGGGGGCCCGCACAAGCGGUGGAGCAUGUGGUUUAAUUCGAUGCAACGCGAAGAACCUUACCUACUCUUGACAUCCAGAGAAGCCAGCGGAGACGCAGGUGUGCCUUCGGGAGCUCUGAGACAGGUGCUGCAUGGCUGUCGUCAGCUCGUGUUGUGAAAUGUUGGGUUAAGUCCCGCAACGAGCGCAACCCUUAUCCUUGUUUGCCAGCGAGUAAUGUCGGGAACUCCAGGGAGACUGCCGGUGAUAAACCGGAGGAAGGUGGGGACGACGUCAAGUCAUCAUGGCCCUUACGAGUAGGGCUACACACGUGCUACAAUGGCGCAUACAGAGGGCGGCGAACUUGCGAGAGUGAGCGAAUCCCAAAAAGUGCGUCGUAGUCCGGAUUGGAGUCUGCAACUCGACUCCAUGAAGUCGGAAUCGCUAGUAAUCGUAGAUCAGAAUGCUACGGUGAAUACGUUCCCGGGCCUUGUACACACCGCCCGUCACACCAUGGGAGUGGGCUGCAAAAGAAGUGGGUAGUUUAACCUUCCGGAGAGGCUCACCCCUUUGUGGU